UGCCCUUGGCACUGCUCUUGUCAAUACCUACCCUCAUUCCAGGCUCAUGCAAUCACUUACGGCCAUGCUCCAUCUCCAGUAAUGCAGAAGACUGUGAUUCCAAUGAGAUAAUUGCAUUCAUUUAGCAGCAAAUUGAAAAUAUAAAGAGGAGAUCUAGCAACUGCUGAGCAGUGACUGUGAUUAACCAUUGGGGGAAACGUCUGUAGAAUAUGUAAGGCUAUCCAGUUCCUUAGACAUCUUUUGAGAUGAAGCUGCCUCUGUCUUGCUGCCCUCGGUGUGCUCUGAGGAGACAAAGUGGGAGAUCUUUUAACGUCAGAGGUACCACCUUCUGCACCAACCCCUGACUCAUGGAUACUGUAUGGCAGGAGCACAUUUGUUUAAGUCAAAUGUUUUACUUUGGAGUGAGGACAACAUAGCAUGCUGCAGCAUCAUAAAAGGCGGACAAAAUAGAAAUGCUCAGUGAACUUCCCUGUUCCACAGGAACCUGUCAGUGCAUUUCAGCAUGUUUAUUAGGAUGUUUAAACAUUCCUCUCUCUAAUAAUUAAUGUAGCCACCAAGGAAAGCUGUGCCAGCAAAGAUGGAGGUAUCAGUACAAAGUCCAGUUGAUAAUGGCCUGGUUCUUUCUGCUGGUUGUUUACACAAAUGAUUGGACUGAGAGGCCUGCCUCUUGCUGACUGCCACUCCUGCCAGCUGGGUAACCUCCCAGCAUCACAACAGGGGGCAGGGAAGCCCUCCUAGAAUGGAGAUUUCACUGAAGAAACUGGAAGUCAAUGUAACUGCCCUACAUGAUAGAUAAGCAUGUAUGUCAAGUUCCUGUACUCGGUUAAAAAAUAAGUACCUUUGGAAGCAUUCUG